CUCCUUGGACCCCAUGGACUGCAGCCUACCAGGCUCCUCCGUCCAUGGGAUUCUCCAGGCAAGAGUACUGGAGUGGGGUGCCAUUGCCUUCUCCGCUGCUUCCCUGACCUCUCCCCAAAUCUGCAAAUUUAAGUCCAAAUCCUAAGCCUUUUCCUGGAUGCCCCACAGUUGGUGUGUGUUCUUCUCCUUGAUGAAAUGAGUUCACAAACCCAAUUUUGUUUGACUAUAAGUGUCUGCUGGUAGUCUUCGGCUGGAGGGCACUGACGAUCAAGAAAAAACAUACAAGUAUACUUGUGCGUAUUUUUUAAAACUCUGAACUCCUACGUUUUGGUUUUUAAGUGUAUUUUAUGAUAUUUUAGUACCACAUUCCCUUUCCUAAUUAUGUUCUCAGGCAAACUGCCCCACCCCCUGAAUCAUCUGCUUCAGCUGGUUACAUUGAUUCUUCAGUCCUUGGGCGAGCUGAGCAUCUUCCUGCAUCUCUCCUCUCCAGUCUUUUUUAAAAAAAUAAUGUUUGUCUGUUUAUGUAUUUGACUACCUUGGGUCUUAGUUGCAGCUCUCGGUAGCACUUGCUUCAGUAGUCACAGCGCUCUAGUUUAGUUGCUUCACAGCAUAUGGGUAUGUUAGUUUCCAGAGCAGGGAUCGAACCCACGUCCUCUGGAUUGUCAGGAGGACUCUUCACCACUGGAGCAGGGAAGUCUUGCCGUCUCCAGUCUUGUAUUAAAAUUGAGGCCCAGGAGAAACCACUCUCUUAGAUGAGGCUUCCAAGAUCACCUAACCAGAUGUGACCUCUCCCUUCUUAGCACUCCUACUGUGCUUGUUUCAGUUACCUGCCAGGCUCUCGUUUUAUCUCCUCCUCAUAGGCUGUAAACUCCAUGAAGAUGGGGACUGAGUCUUACAAUCUUGUUUAGCACUCUAGUGAGUGCUCCAGCUACAAGGCCCCGUCAAAGGGUCAGGUGUUCCCAUGGCUAGGAGCCAGGGAUCCCUGAGAUCAUGAGAAGUUAUGGUUUAGAACUGAGAAGUGGAGCGCCUGAGUCAUAUUAAGGAGGGAUAAGUACUGAAAUCUCUAUGGAUUAAAUGAUAUGACAUCCAAAAUUUGUCUUACAGUUGUCCGUAACCGCUUUGGACUUCCCUGGUGGCUCAGUGGUAAAGAAUCUACCUGCCAGC